rnacentral:rRNA from 1 species
CCUACGGGUGGCAGCAGUGAGGAAUAUUGGUCAAUGGGCGCGAGCCUGAACCAGCCACGUCGCGUGAGGGAUGACGGUCCUACGGAUUGUAAACCUCUUUUGCCGGGGAGCAAACGUGCGUUCGUGAACGCGCGUCGAGAGUACCCGGAGAAAAAGCAUCGGCAAACUCCGUGCCAGCAGCCGCGUUAAUACGGGGGAGGGGAGGUUUAUCGGGUUUUAUGGGGUUAAAGGGGUGCGUAGGGGGGAUGAAAAGUCAGCGGGAAAAAUGCGGUGCUAAGCGCCGUCGAGCCGUUGAAACUGGCGUGCUUGAGUGGGGGAGAAGUAGGCGGAAUGCGUGGUGUAGCGGUGAAAUGCAUAGAUAUCACGCAGAACUCCGAUUGCGAAGGCAGCUUACUGGAGCGCUACUGACGCUGAGGCACGAAAGCGUGGGUAUCGAACAGGAUUAGAUACCCGAGUAGUC